GGGACACGUGGUAUCCUGUCUGAAUAUGGGGGGACCAUCCUCCAAGGCUAAAUACUCCUGACUGACCGAUAGUGAACCAGUACCGUGAGGGAAAGGCGAAAAGAACCCCGGCGAGGGGAGUGAAAAAGAACCUGAAACCGUGUACGUACAAGCAGUGGGAGCACGCUUAGGCGUGUGACUGCGUACCUUUUGUAUAAUGGGUCAGCGACUUAUAUUCUGUAGCAAGGUUAACCGAAUAGGGGAGCCGAAGGGAAACCGAGUCUUAACUGGGCGUUAAGUUGCAGGGUAUAGACCCGAAACCCGGUGAUCUAGCCAUGGGCAGGUUGAAGGUUGGGUAACACUAACUGGAGGACCGAACCGACUAAUGUUGAAAAAUUAGCGGAUGACUUGUGGCUGGGGGUGAAAGGCCAAUCAAACCGGGAGAUAGCUGGUUCUCCCCGAAAGCUAUUUAGGUAGCGCCUCGUGAAUUCAUCUCCGGGGGUAGAGCACUGUUUCGGCAAGGGGGUCAUCCCGACUUACCAACCCGAUGCAAACUGCGAAUACCGGAGAAUGUUAUCACGGGAGACACACGGCGGGUGCUAACGUCCGUCGUGAAGAGGGAAACAACCCAGACCGCCAGCUAAGGUCCCAAAGUCAUGGUUAAGUGGGAAACGAUGUGGGAAGGCCCAGACAGCCAGGAUGUUGGCUUAGAAGCAGCCAUCAUUUAAAGAAAGCGUAAUAGCUCACUGGUCGAGUCGGCCUGCGCGGAAGAUGUAACGGGGCUAAACCAUGCACCGAAGCUGCGGCAGCGACACUAUGUGUUGUUGGGUAGGGGAGCGUUCUGUAAGCCUGUGAAGGUGUACUGUGAGGUAUGCUGGAGGUAUCAGAAGUGCGAAUGCUGACAUAAGUAACGAUAAAGCGGGUGAAAA
rnacentral:rRNA from 1 species